UUCGGGAUGAGUAGAGUGGCGGACGGGUGAGUAACGCGUAGGAAUCUAUCCUGUAGUGGGGGAUAACGUUUCGAAAGGAACGCUAAUACCGCAUACGCCCCGACGGGGGAAAGCGGGGGGAUCUUCGGACCUCGUGCUAUAGGAGGAGCCUGCGUCGGAUUAGCUAGUUGGUGAGGUAAAGGCUCACCAAGGCGACGAUCCGUAGCUGGUCUGAGAGGAUGAUCAGCCACACCGGAACUGAGACACGGUCCGGACUCCUACGGGAGGCAGCAGUGGGGAAUAUUGCGCAAUGGGCGAAAGCCUGACGCAGCCAUACCGCGUGUGUGAAGAAGGCCUUCGGGUUGUAAAGCACUUUCAGUGGGGAGGAAAAGCGGGUGGCUAAUAUCCAUCGGCCGUGACGCUACCCACAGAAGAAGCACCGGCUAAUUCCGUG
rnacentral:rRNA from 1 species